UACGUAGGGUCCGAGCGUUGUCCGGAAUUAUUGGGCGUAGAGGGCUCGUAGGCGGUCCGUCACGUCGGGAGUGAAAACUCAGGGCUCAACCCUGAGCGUGCUUCCGAUACGGGCGGACUAGAGGUAUGCAGGGGAGAACGGAAUUCCUGGUGUAGCGGUGGAAUGCGCAGAUAUCAGGAGGAACACCGGUGGCGAAGGCGGUUCUCUGGGCAUUACCUGACGCUGAGGAGCGAAAGCAUGGGGAGCGAACAGG
rnacentral:rRNA from 1 species